AGGACGAACGCUGGCGGCGUGCUUAACACAUGCAAGUCGAGCGGAAAGGCCUUUCGGGGUACUCGAGCGGCGAACGGGUGAGUAACACGUGAGUAAUCUGCCCAUCGCUUCAGGAUAGCCAUCGGAAACGGUGAUUAAUACUGGAUAUGACAUUCCUUCGCAUGUUGGGGUGUGGAAAGUUUUUUCGGCGGUGGAUGUGCUCGCGGCCUAUCAGCUUGUUGGUGGGGUAAUGGCCUACCAAGGCUUUGACGGGUAGCCGGCCUGAGAGGGUGACCGGCCACGACUGGGACUGGAGACACGGCCCAGACUCCUAGGGAGCAGCAGUGGGAAUAGUGGACAAGUGGGCGAAGCCUGAUCCAGCAACGCCGCGUGAGGAUGGACGGUCGUUCGGGUUAGUAACCUC
rnacentral:rRNA from 1 species